UUCCAGUUCAUCUCAAAGACUGGAGACAACCAUGGCGACUUGGUCCCUCCUGAUGUGUGUGAUGCUGGCUGUAGCCCUGCUGGGCGAAGGCCAGGCUGAUGAACAGCGCGGAAGCAUCGACUCCUCUUCCGGACAGCGACGAGAUGGCGGCGGGGAACGGUUCAUCGGCGGGGAAGGCGAUGAUAUCUACGCCGAUAUCUACGAAGCCAACCGCGACUGGAUAGACAAAAUUAUAGAAAACGAUGAACUCUGACAUUGUCACAGUAUAGGUGAACUCUGUUGAACUCUGCCAUCGUUACAGUAUAGGUAAACUCUGUUCACUUUGACAUUGUUACAGUAUCUAUAGGCAAACUUUGUUCACAUUGUCAACAUUGUUACAGUAUACCUAUGUAAAGUCUGUUGAGUUUGACAUUGUUAUAGUAUAGAUUUACUUUCUUGAAUUCUGUGCCCGUUAUAGUAAUAGUCAAACACUGCGCCUGGCGAAAAUGUUCAUUCUAUCAUUUGUAGUGAUUGUUAUACUCUGUUAACGUAUAGCUUUGCAAUGUUCGUAACAUAAUUUCACGACCAACUCUAUCAACUUUCUGUGUUUAAAAACAUUCAUUUAUGGUUAAUAGAAUUUUUCAUCGAUCAGUGACUUAUCAAAGGUAAGUAAAACGUACCUCCAAAUUUUCGAUGGCUAUCCAGUCCAUCUUGUUCACGGAGUGACCUAGUUCUCGCGAGAGUUGCGAGAACUAGGUCAAGACUUGCUUGGAUCUUCUGUCCCCCACCCCACGUUUUACUUACCUUUGAUAAGUCACUGAUCGAUGAAAAAUUCUAUUAACUGUGAACAUACGUGACUAAUGAAUCUCUUCAACGACAUUCAUUUAUGUCUUUCUCCCAUGCAUCGCGCAUGUACGUAAUAUAUACAAUGUAACAACACUGUUCUCACUGUUCAUGUCAGUCUAAUGUUCAUUGUUAUAACACACCCAAAAACUGGUAACGAAUCUGUUCCUUUGUUCGUCGUGACACUUGAACUCCGCAGCACAUGUAACCCCAGAACGUGGCUUGAAUAACGUGAAGUGUAAACAAUAAAAUGAUGAGUGGCGAAACAUUA